UCAGAAGUGCGAAUGCUGACGUGAGUAACGACAAAACGGGUGAAAAACCCGUUCGCCGAAAGACCAAGGGUUCCAGUCCAACGUUAAUCGGGGCUGGGUGAGUCGACCCCUAAGGCGAGGCCGAAAGGCGUAGUCGAUGGGAAAAUGGUUAAUAUUCCAUUACUUCUGUGUAAUGCGAUGAGAGGACGGAGAAGGCUAAAUCAGCCUGGCGUUGGUUGUCCAGGUGAAAGGAUGUAGGCAUGUAUCUUAGGCAAAUCCGGGGUACUCUAUGCUGAGAUCUGAUAGCAAGCUGUACUUGUACAGCGAAGUGGUUGAUGCCAUGCUUCCAGGAAAAGUCUCUAAGCUUCAGUUACACAGGAAUCGUACCCGAAACCGACACAGGUGGUCAGGUCGAGUAGACCAAGGCGCUUGAGAGAACUCUGCUGAAGGAACUAGGCAAAAUGGUACCGUAACUUCGGGAGAAGGUACGCUGUUGUUGGUGAUGGAACUCGCUUCCUGAGCUGACGACAGCCGCAGAAACCAGGCCGCUGCAACUGUUUAUUAAAAACAUAGCACUCUGCAAACACGAAAGUGGACGUAUAGGGUGUGAUGCCUGCCCGGUGCUGGAAGGUUAAUUGAUGGGGUUAGCGUAAGCGAAGCUCUUGAUCGAAGCCCCAGUAAACGGCGGCCGUAACUAUAACGGUCCUAAGGUAGCGAAAUUCCUUGUCGGGUAAGUUCCGACCUGCACGAAUGGCAUAAUGAUGGCGGCGCUGUCUCCAGCAGAGGCUCAGUGAAAUCGAAAUCGCUGUGAAGAUGCAGUGUACCCGCGGCUAGACGGAAAGACCCCGUGAACCUUUACUGCAGCUUGACACUGAACUUUGACCUUACUUGUGUAGGAUAGGUGGGAGGCUUUGAAGCUGGAACGCUAGUUCCAGUGGAGCCGUCCUUGAAAUACCACCCUGGUAAUGUUGAGGUUCUAACUCUGUCCCGUGAUCCGGGACGAGGACCGUGUCUGGUGGGUAGUUUGACUGGGGCGGUCUCCUCCUAAAGAGUAACGGAGGAGUACGAAGGUGCGCUCAGCGUGGUCGGAAAUCACGCGUAGAGUAUAAAGGCAAAAGCGCGCUUAACUGCGAGACCCACAAGUCGAGCAGGUACGAAAGUAGGUCUUAGUGAUCCGGUGGUUCUGUAUGGAAGGGCCAUCGCUCAACGGAUAAAAGGUACUCUGGGGAUAACAGGCUGAUACCGCCCAAGAGUUCAUAUCGACGGCGGUGUUUGGCACCUCGAUGUCGGCUCAUCUCAUCCUGGGGCUGAAGCAGGUCCCAAGGGUAUGGCUGUUCGCCAUUUAAAGAGGUACGCGAGCUGGGUUUAGAACGUCGUGAGACAGUUCGGUCCCUAUCUACCGUGGGCGCUGGAAAUUUGAGAGGAUCUGCUCCUAGUACGAGAGGACCAGAGUGGACGAACCUCUGGUGUACCGGUUGUGACGCCAGUCGCAUCGCCGGGUAGCUAUGUUCGGAAGGGAUAACCGCUGAAAGCAUCUAAGCGGGAAGCCUACCUCAAGAUAAGAUUUCCCUAGGACUUUAUGUCCUCUAAAGAGCCGUUCGAGACUAGGACGUUGAUAGGUUGGAUGUGGAAGCAUAGUGAUAUGUGAAGCUGACCAAUACUAAUUGCUCGUGAGGCUUGACUAU
rnacentral:rRNA from 2 species